CAGUGAGGACUGCUAUCACCGUCCCGUCCUCCAUAUGUCCCUGAUCUGUGUUGCUCCUCAGGGGCUGUGGCGGAUGCUUUGAAUUUGCAUCAGCACGAUGCCUCCAAAAUGGCUGAUUGGAUUUUGGGACUCCAUCACUGCAUGCUACCCUUGCAGGAAAUAUCGCAAGUGGUCUUCAAGGAGAAGAGACGCCCACGUGCCUCGCCCUACCGGGCAUGAGGCAGAAGAUCUGACUCCAAAUGAGCAGGUGGAUAAUCUCAACUCUAAUAGCAGUUUGGACAGGGAACAACGUCCCAG